CCCUUAGAUGUUCUGGGCCGCACGCGCGUUACACUGAUGCAUUCAACGAGUUCUUCCUUGGCCGAGAGGCCUGGGCAAUCUUUUGAACGUGCAUCGUGAUAGGGAUAGAUUAUUGCAAUUAUUAAUCUUGAACGAGGAAUUCCUAGUAAACGCAGUUCAUCAAACUGCAUUGAUUACGUCCCUGCCCUUUGUACACACCGCCCGUCGCACCUACCGAUUGAAUGGCUUAGUGAGCCUUUGGGAUUGGCAGCUUGUACCGGCAACGGUAGCAGGCCGCUGAAAACUUAGGCAAACUUGGUCAUUUAGAGGAAGUAAAAGUCGUAACA
rnacentral:rRNA from 1 species